GUGGCUAUAAAAAGGCCUAGGCACUGGGUGUCCGAUGCAUUCAGAUCGGGCUUCCAAUUUCUCUCUGGUUACUCUCCUUUCUUUCUUACAACCUAUCUUAGUUUUAGCACAAGGCUUUAGAAUUUAAGACAAAGCCUUAUCUGGUCCUAACAAGGGUUGUAAGGGUUCUAAAGAAGGAGAAUCAGAAGUCUAGAGGAGGUUCUGAGAGGGUAGAGUUAGGUUCUUAGAGAAACCUGAUCUGUAUGAGGCUAGUCGAGUUCUAGGGACUAGAACUCUUGAAGCA
rnacentral:lncRNA from 1 species